UCGCGGCUUAUCACCGGCAGUCCCCUUAGAGUGCCCAACUGAAUGAUGGCAACUAAGGGCGAGGGUUGCGCUCGUUGCGGGACUUAACCCAACAUCUCACGACACGAGCUGACGACAGCCAUGCAGCACCUGUGUUCCCGCCAGCCGAACUGAAGGGUCUCAUCUCUGAAACCCAUACGGGACAACUCGGAGGAAGGUGGGGAUGACGUCAAGGAACACCAAC
rnacentral:misc_RNA from 1 species